rnacentral:tRNA from 1 species
CCUGGUGGCUCAGACGGUAAAGCAUCUGCCUGCAAUGCAGGAGACCCAGGUUCAAUUCCUGGGUCAGGA